CACACUGUAAACGAUGAUAACUCGCUGCCGGCGAUACACAGUCGGUGGCCAAGCGAAAGCGAUAAGUUAUCCACCUGGGGAGUACGACCGCAAGGUUGAAACUCAAAGGAAUUGACGGGGGCCCGCACAAGCGGAGGAACAUGUGGUUUAAUUCGAUGAUACGCGAGGAACCUUACCUGGGCUUAAAUGGGGGACGACAGCUGCUGAAAGGUGGUUUUCUUCGGACGUUCUUCAAGGUGC
rnacentral:rRNA from 1 species